GGAGGGGAAGGUCACAGCUAUGUUCCAUCCCUGGUCAUGGUGAGCACAGAACAGGCAGGAAACAGGUGGGAAUCUGAUCAAGCCCCAACACAACUCACGUCUGUUAGCUUCUCAUCCUAAUGAUCACCAUAGUGAGAGCUUGCUCUGUGCCAGGCACUGCUCCAUGCACCAUGGACACAGCAUCACAGAAAACAAAGAUCCCUGCCCUAUAGAGCUAGCAUUCUAGUGGGGGAGAUAGAAGAAACAAAUAUGUGAUGGGUAAGCAGCUUCCCUGGUGGCUCAGACAGUAAAGAAUCUGCCUGCAAUGCGGGAGACCUGGGUUCGAUCCCUGGGUCAGGAAGAUCCCCUGGAGAAGGGAAUGGCUACCCACUCCAGUAUUCUGGCCUGGAGAAUCCCAUGGACAGAGGAGCCCGGUGGGCUACACUCCAUGGAGUUGUAGUCGGACACAACUGAGUGACUAACACUCUUACUACUUUCAGGAGAUAAUACAUGCCAGGAUGAAAAAUAAACUGCCACAGGGGGAUGGAUAAAGAGAGUUUAGGGAAGGCUGUGAGAAGUAACAUCUGAAGACCUGAAGGAUGUAGAGGAAGAGGGUUCCAAGAAGAAUGGGAACUCGGGACUCUUCUUACCAGGUGUUGUAGUUCUCUGUUGCUGUGUAACAAAUUAUCUCCCCAAAUGUAAUGGCUUAAGGGCUUCCCAGGUGGUGCUAGUGGUAAAGAACCCGCCUGCCAAUGCAGGAGAUGUGAGUUCAAUCCCUGGGUUAGGAAGAUCCCUUGGAAGAGGGCAUGGCAACCCACUCCAGUAUUCUUGCCUGGAGAAUCCUCAUGGACUGACAUGGGGUGACCUGGGGUGACAUGGACUGACAUGGGGUGAGAGUUGGACAUGACUGAAGUGACUUAGCACACACACACAUAGUGACUUAAAACUAGAAACACUUAUUAGCUCACACAGUUUUUGUGGGUCAGGAAUCCAGGGACGGCUUUAGUAGGCUUUCUGGCUCAGAGUCUCCAUAAGGUUGUAGUCGACAUGUUGACUGGGGCUGCGUUCCUCUGAAGGUUUGACUGGGGCUGAAGGCUCUUGCUUCCGAGGAGGCUCACUCACAUGUGACUGGCAGGUGAGUGCUGGCUGUUGGCGGGAUGCCUCAGUUCCUCACUACCUAAGUUGACUUGAGUUUGAUACGCCCAACCUGGCAGCUGGCCUCACCAGGGCAGGCAACCCAAGAGAAGGAAAGCCAGGUGGAACUUGUAUCGUUUCAUGACCUAGCCUUGAAAGUCCCAGAGCAUCACUUCAGCCGCCACAUCCUGUGUGAUAAAAUUGAGUUGCCAGAUCCAGCCUGUGUUUAGGAAGAAGGAUAAAGACCCUGCCCUCUCUCCCUUCCUCCCUCCCCAUCUCCUACUGGAGUCUCUCUCUUCCAGCGCCAGAAGGCAAGGAAGGAAAGGGAGCCGGUCAGGCAGUCAGCCUGUCAGGGCACAGAGCAGGAGGCGAAGGCGAGAAUCAGUCUGGAGGGACAGAGAUACAGCCUAUUCCUAGGAUUCCUGGUCAAACCUUCCAUCAAGACCAAGUGCAGAGUGUAUGCUAAAUUCAUUCAUUCAACAGUCAUUUCCUGAGCACCUUCUGUAUACCAGCCCCUGCUACUGGAGCUGGGAAUUCCACAAUGAACCAGACAGACAUGCGGUCUCAAGGAGCUGAUAUUGUGGGGCAAGAGAAAUACCUGAUUAGCUAACAAUCAAAUUAAUAAAUGUCACAUAC